UACGAAGGGUGCAAGCGUUACUCGGAAUUACUGGGCGUAAAGCGUGCGUAGGUGGUUUUUUAAGUCCGUUGUGAAAGCCCUGGGCUCAACCUGGGAAUGGCAGUGGAUACUGGAAAGCUAGAGUGCGGUAGAGGGUAGUGGAAUUCCCGGUGUAGCAGUGAAAUGCGUAGAGAUCGGGAGGAACACCAGUGGCGAAGGCGGCUACCUGGACCAGCACUGACACUGAGGUGCGAAAGCGUGGGGAGCAAACAGG
rnacentral:rRNA from 1 species